rnacentral:rRNA from 1 species
UAACCUUGGGAAACUGAGGCUAAUACCCUAUAGGUGAUUGAUGCUGGAAUGCGCUUUCACUCAAAGCUUCGGUGUCAUAGGAUGGGUCUGCGGUCGAUUAGCCUGUAGGUGGUGUAAUGGACCACCUAAGCUAUAAUCGAUACGGGUCUUGGGAGAGAUAGCCCGGAGACGGAAUCUGAGACACUAUUCCGAGCCUUACGGGGUGCAGCAGGCGCGAAACCUUUACAAUGCGCGAAAGCGUGAUAAGGGGAUUCCAAGUGGUCUCAUUGAGACCUUUUUAGCAGCGUAAAUGGCUGUUAGAAUAAGUGGUGGGCAAGACUAGUGCCAGCCGCCGCGGUAACACUAGCAUCCGCAAGUGGCAGUCGUUUUUAUUGGGCUUAAAGCGUUCGUGGCCGUCUUGAUGUGUCUUUGGUGAAAUUUCACAGCUUAACUGUGAAGCUUGCUGGAGAAACUAUCAGGCUUGAGGACAGGAGAGGCCAAAGGAACUUCUGGGGUAAGGGUGAAAUCUUCUGAACCUAGAAGGACCAACAGUGGCGAAGGCGUUUGGCUAGAAUGUGCCUGACGGUGAGGAACGAAAGCCAGGGUAGCGAAACGGAUAGAUACCCGUGUAGUCCUGGCCGUAAACGAUGCAGACUAGGUGGAGCAUAACUCUUGUGGUUGUGCCCUGCCGAAGGGAAACCACUAAGUCUGCCGCCUGGGGAGUAUGGUCGCAAGGCUGAAACUUAAAGGAAUUGGCGGGGGAGCACUACAAGGGGUGGAAGCUGCGGUUUAAUUAGAUUCAACGCUGGACAACUCACCGGGGGCGACAGCAGAAUGAAGGUCAGGCUGAAGGUCUUACCGAACACGCUGAGAGGAGGUGCAUGGCCGUCGUCAGCUCGUGCUGUGAAGCGUUAGGUUAAGUCCUAGAACGAGCGAGACCCACACUUCUAUUUACUACCUUUCUCUCCGGAGAAGGGGUACAAUAGAGGGACUGCCCGCUAUAAGUGGGAGGAAGGUGUGGACAACGAUAGGUCCGUAUGCCCCGAAUCUCCCGGGCUACACGCGGCUUACAUUGGCUGGUACAAUGGGUUGCGACACCGAGAGGUGGAGCCAAUCCCGAAAGCCAGUCUAGGUUCAGAUCGAGCUUUGAAACUCAGGCUCGUGAAGCUGGAAUCCCUAGUAAUCGCAUCUCAUUAUAGUGCGGUGAAUACGUCCCUGCUCCUUGCACACACUGUCCGUCACUCCAACUAAGCGGGGUUCAGAUGAGGCUUUGUCUUCUAGAUUGAGUCGAAUCUAAGUUCCGUGAGGGGGGAGAAGUCGUAGCAAGGUA